rnacentral:tRNA from 1 species
GGUUGUUUAGUUUAGGUAAAACAGGGGUCUUGUAAAUCCUUGACGACUAGAGUAUAGCCGC